rnacentral:misc_RNA from 1 species
ACGGCAGGGUCCAUCGACGCCUGCCCUUGUGUUGCCAUCGGAUCUUGUAGUCCUCCUCCUCGUCUUCCUUCUCCCUUCUAAUCCCCUGAUUUCUCCGAACAAAAAGCCCUAGAAAUCAGAAUGGCUAUAGAGUUUUUGACGAUUAUUUGGUCUUCUAGUCGUUGCUGGUCGUUUCGUGCCUUUUAGUCUGCUGUGCGUGUUCAAAAAACACUCGCUUAGUGGCGUAGAAGUAGAACAAAAAGGUAUUUUCUCGGGAAAAAGAGUGGGA